rnacentral:rRNA from 1 species
GACGAACGCUGGCGGCGUGCUUAACACAUGCAAGUCGAACGGAAAGGCCCUGCUUUUGUGGGGUGCUCGAGUGGCGAACGGGGGAGUAACACGUGAGUAACCUGCCCUUGACUUUGUGAUAACUUCAGGAAACUGGGGCUAAUACCGGAUAGGAGCUCCUGCUGCAUGGUGGUGGUUGGAAAGUUUCGGCGGUUGGGGAUGGACUCGCGGCUUAUCAGCUGGUUGGGCGGGUAGUCGCUUACCAAGGCUUCGACGGAUAGCCGGCAUGGGAGGGUGGACAGGCACCAUGGGCCUGAGGUACGGAGCAGACUGCAACGGGAGGCAGCAGUGGAGAAUAUUACACAAUGGGCGGAAGUCUGAGGCAGAGACGCCGCGUGCGGGAUGACGGCUUUCGGGUUGUAAACCGCUUUCGCCUGUGACGAAGCGGGAGUGACGGUAAUGGGUAAAGAAGCACCGGCUAACUACGUG